CAACAGAGCAAGACUCUGUCUCCAAUAAAAUAAAAUAAUUUAAAAUGGUUUUUAAAGAACAUUUUCUUAUUGUCAAACAUUUGAUCAUCAAUAUGAUAAUGGAGAAACCACAAAAAUAACUACAUUGCACUUUAUACACCUUUAGCUUGUUCUCUGCUAUUCUAGGCUUGACUGAGCCAGAAGAUAAAUAUAGACAAAAAUUAGCACCCUUGCACAGAAAAGAGGAUAGAGUCUGCAUGAGUGAAUAGGGUUUUGGUAUGAAUCAGUUCAGCGAAAAGUUUACAAUUAUACCAAGCUCUGGGAAUUACAGUUCUCAGAGUAAAAAGUUGGCUAGAAAGUUAGAAAAAAAGGUGAUGAUGGACCUAAACCAAAUUUAGCCCUCCUAACUAACUACUGAGGAUUAUAUAGGAUGUCAUCUGAUUUUUCCCUUUCAUAUUUCUCUCUGAUUCCUAAGUUUUGCUUGAUAUAAAUGAUAGAGGAGGAGGAGCUGAAUGCCUCCACAAAUAUGAACAGAAAUUCUCCUAUCACAUUAAGUCUCCAUGAAUGAAGUUAGUUAGAGAAAAUAAAACUGUUGAAGAAACAGGGAAUGUUUGGCUUGUGGAAAAGACUAACUGGGGGACUAAGUGGCUACCUUCAACUUUCUAAAGGUUAUUGUGUGUCUCUCAUGGGCAAGACUAAAACCAGUUGGUUCUAGAACCAGAAGCCAUAGAGAAAGAGAACUUUGGGGAAGUCAGAAUUUCCUAACCAUUAUAAGCUGUUGGACCUCCAGGAAAAGACAGUGAAUUAAUUACACCCAUUGAAUUCACCCCUUCUUAAACCUGCACUUUUUUUUUUUUUUUUAACAUAAACUCACAUAAAUGGGAAAAAGAAAAGAAGUGGCAACAACAAAAUUUUGGAAUCUGGAGGCAAAGGGAUCAAUGGCAGAAGACUGGUUGAGUUUUCUCUGGGGAAAAGAACUAAAGAAAAAAAGAACUAAAAAGAACUAAAGAACUAAAAGAAAAAAAGAACUAAAGAAAAAGAACUUAAAAAAAAUUCUGACAUCAGAUUCCCCAAGGAAAUGCCUGGCUUGUUUAUGUUUAAAUUUAUGAGAAACUGCAAA